rnacentral:tRNA from 1 species
GGGGAUGCAGCUUAAUGGGAGAGCACAUGCCUCACAUGCAUGAGGCACUAGGUUUGACCCCAGCAUUUCAG